rnacentral:rRNA from 1 species
AUUGAACGCUGGCGGCAGGCCUAACACAUGCAAGUCGAGCGGAUGAAGGGAGCUUGCUCCUGGAUUCAGCGGCGGACGGGUGAGUAAUGCCUAGGAAUCUCCCUGGUAGUGGGGGAUAACGUCCGGAAACGGGCGCUAAUACCGCCUACGUCCUGCGGGAGAAAGUGGGGGAGCUUCGGACCUCACGCUAUCAGAUGAGCCUAGGUCGGAUUAGCUAGUUGGUGGGGUAAAUGCCUACCAAGGCGACGAUCCGUAACUGGCCUGAGAGGAUGAUCAGUCACACUGGAAGUGGGCCACGGUCAUGACUCCUGAGGGAGGCAGCAGUGGGGAAUAUUAGACAGUGGGCGAAAGCAUGAUCCAGCCAUGGCGAGUGUGUGAAGGAGGUCUUGGGAGUGUAAAGCACUUUUAGUUGGGAGGAAGGGCAGUAAGUUAAUACCUUGCUGUUGUGACGGUAACAACAGAAUAAGCACCGGCUAACUACGUG